CUCCGAACGUUAAACAAAUAUUAUAAUCACAGUAGUCUUAGAUAAUCACUCUGUCCUAUUCCGAUUGACCAAUUCAUCUCUCUCUCUCGAUUUUGUUUGUGUGAAAACGACGUGGAUGCACGUGCUGUCGUGUCUCCGGGUAGCUACGCCCCUGCAGUAAUUUGUAGUUUCAGUUUUGGCCGUGUUAUAGUCCUCCAGAUUCUUGUUGGUAGUUUCCUUUCGACUUUCAUUGCCAACUUCUUCUUCUUCUUCUUCUUUA
rnacentral:lncRNA from 1 species